GCGUGCUUAACACAUGCAAGUCGAACGAGUGGCGGACGGGUGAGUAACGCGUGAGGAUCUGCCUUUAGUGGGGGACAACCAAUGGAAACGUUGGCUAAUACCGCAUAAGAUGAACUCGCGUCUGAUUAGCUAGUUGGUGGGGUAAAGGCCUACCAAGGCGACGAUCAGUAGCUGGUCUGAGAGGAUGAUCAGCCACACUGGGACUGAGACGCGGCCCAGACUCCUACGGGAGGCAGCAGUGGGGAAUUUUCCGCAAUGGGCGCAAGCCUGACGGAGCAACGCCGCGUGAGGGAGGAAUGCCUUUGGGUUGUAAACCUCUUUUCUCAGGGAUGACGGUACCUGAGGAAUCAGCAUCGGCUAACUCCGUGCCAGCAGCCGCGGUAAGACGGAGGAUGCAAGCGUUAUCCGGAAUUAUUGGGCGUAAAGCGUCCGUAGGCGGUUGAAUAAGUCAGCUGUUAAAGACUGGGGCUCAACCCUGGGGUUGCAGCUGAGACUGUUCGACUAGAGAGCGGUAGGGGUAGAGGGAAUUCCUAGUGUAGCGGUGAAAUGCGUAGAUAUUAGGAAGAACACCAGUGGCGAAGGCGCUCUACUGGGCCGUUACUGACGCUGAUGGACGAAAGCUAGGGGAGCGAAUGGGAUUAGAUACCCCAGUAGUCCUAGCUGUAAACGAUGGAUACUAGGUGUUGGUACCGCAGCAAACGCGUUAAGUA
rnacentral:rRNA from 1 species